GACUGGUUGGGGUCCAGUAGAUACUAAAGCCAGGCAGAGGAAGCCUUCUCAGGUCACCCAGUCUGUGUUCUACCUGGAAGAUGGUAACUUGGGUGUGGUGUUCAAGUCUUACCCCAAACCUAAAAGUGUCCGAAAGUCCAUCCCCUUAGUGACUCUGCCAAAGCAGGAAGAGAUCUGCUCGACCAAACAUUGGCUGAAGAGGUUCAGUAUUAAGAGGCAGAAACUUGACAUCUAUAAGCUGGUGUCUGGACCUGACUGUACACAUCAUAAGAAGC